UCUGCCUUUUGCUUUAUAUAUAUAGAUAUAAAAACUGCAAAUUAAAUCGUCCCCCAAAUAAAAAGAAAAGAGACCAAAAUUUAAAUCAUACAAAUAACAUUAAACUUUAAUUCAAUCUAAAAUAAACAAAAAAUACUAAAAUUUUACAAAAUCCCAAAUUAAACAAAACCAGAAAGUCAACUCCCCCUCCCAACCCCUUAUCCCUGCCACCCUUACCCAUCUCCCACGCCACCCUAACCGCCAUUCUUCUCUCAAAACACUUGUUUCUUCCGAUGUCCCAGUCAGUACAAGGAUUGCGGGGAUGGGAUUUGGCAUGCUGAAACCUAACUCUUCUCCCUUCCCCUUUACCACAAGCAGCCCCCACCAAAUACGGUUAAACCACAGUGACUCCCAAAGCUAUCUUCUUCUAGUUAAGGGAGGAAAUCCACCAGCCAGUUGCUGGCUUUGACUUUAGGGAGAAGAAGGACCCACUAUAAAUGAAUGGGAAGGAAGAUUGGAGCAACCUCAUCUGAGCCCUUUUGCCAAAGAAGUCGUAGGCCCUUCCCCCUGUGGUGGUGGAAAUGGCGUGAUUUUGUAAUUUUAUUUAUUUAAUUUUGUAACAAUAAAAUAAUUGUUAAUUUAAAAACAAUUUUUU
rnacentral:lncRNA from 1 species